CAAAGUCAAAACCUUCAAAAGAAUAAAAUCCAGUGAGAAUUUCAAAACUCUCUGAUUACUGUACCAAUUAAGGGUACCAUGUGCCUCAAAUUUCGGUACAAAACUUUAUAGUAGUUAGUCUAAAGUAGCUUGUAACUCAGCUUUAACUAAGGUGUCCUCAGCUUUAACUAUAGUUUGGUCAAAUUUUCAGGCUUCUUAAGAUCAGACAUAAUGUUGAUUAAGUAUUUGGUAAUCCAAUUUCCAAAGUUAAUUAAUCCAAAUUCAAUGGUUAACGAUUUGUAAUAUAACAGCCUGCAGGAAAAAUUUGAAGUAACUUGUUGAAAACUGAUUUUAU
rnacentral:lncRNA from 1 species